AUACGUUCAACUGACAGGUGGUUUGGUGAAGAUAAGGAGCAGCUGCUCUCUCUCUCUCUCUCUCUCUCUCUCUCGCUCUCGCUCUCGCUCUCUCUCUCUCAUAAAAGAGGAAAGUGGGGUUCAUUAAUUCAGACCCCAGCAGGAACUGAAGAGUCACAUCAGUCCAUCUACUGAAAGAGGGAUUUCUGCCUGUUUUGACUGUUUUCGUGGAUUUUAUCAGCCCAGCUGAAGACGGUCGAGCCAUCGGCAGAGCAGCAGCACCAACCGUCCUCCUUCCUCCAGGACUUCUGGGCCAGAACACAGUGACCCCGUCAGCCACUGAUGCCCAGGAUUUAAAGUCCAGCUGUUCUGGAUGUGUUGCUGACAGUCCAUCAGAGAGAAGCAGACCUCACAGCUGCAGGAAGCUGCUUCACUCCGCCUCAGCUUCCCCACUGGUCUGGUGCUGGACGCCCCCUGCUGGCACAAACGGGGAAUGGCAGAGACAGUCUAAGUACAGGAUGAAAACAAACUGCUUUAGUGACCUGCAGCGACCUUUAGUAACCUUUAGUGACCUGCAGCGACCUGCAAGAAUGAGGAAUCUUUGUCGUCACACCACACCACAUGACCACGCCCUUUAAACCCAAAUCAUGAAGGUCAGGAUGAAGAUGACCUGACAGCAUCAGCAUGUCUGUAAGGCGGAGCUUCAGCACCACGGACAGCGACUGUGUCCUGCUGACGUCCAUCAAGGGAGACGAAGCCGACCAGGAAGCGUCAACAACUGUCCAUAUCCCAUCAUGCACCAGGGGUUGCUCCAGACAGGCUGUGGCUCCAGAGUGUAACCCAGGUGGGAAAACGGGGUUUUCCAUUGAAAUUUCCUGAAUGAAUUCCCCUGAAGACUAACAGGCUUCUUGCACAUUGCUGCCGGUGGAGCGUGAGGGUGUGGGCGAGUACUUCCUGUCCAAGCUUCCGGUGGUUUCAGAGGGAGAGGGGGAGAAAAAAGUUCUUUUAUUACGUAGUUUUUAAAUGUCUUAAUGGCCUCACGCCUUCUUAUUUAGCUGAUCUGUUUUUACCCUAUUGACCCU